GCCUUCAAUGGCUUAGUGGUAGAGCGUCUGAUAUGUAUUGCUUCCCUGAGUAUUGCCCAACUUGACAGAAGGCUAGGGUUCGAAUCCCUAUUAAGGCA
rnacentral:tRNA from 1 species